rnacentral:lncRNA from 1 species
CAAAAAUCAAGGUCUUCCUCUGCUCAGAAGCACAGAAACUGUCCAGGAGGGGAAGCUCUAAGUAACGAUAAUAAUAGAAAGUGAUUAACUUGACAGUGAGCUAAGACCAGAUAUGUUCCCGGUGACCCACUGUGAAUGAAAAUUCAAUUUUUGCACAGUUUCACUCUGUGGAGAGAAUAUCGCACUAUUACAAAACUUCUUUUAAAGAAAAGACACUUUGGGAAUUGGCCUCAUCUGGUUUUCAUAGGCAGUUCAGAUACGAAUAAAGGAAAGAAGAAAACAUCUCCUUCCUUAUUCUCCAUCUGCGUAUCUCACUAUUUCUCAUCCUCCUUACAGACACUCAGCUGGAAGUUCACAGAUCCAGUUUCUUCUAGAUUGUUCCUCAAUCUUGUGGAGCAAGUUGGGACUUGCAGGUGACCAAGAAGGGGGAUCUGAGAACCGGAAUCGUCUCCCCUGGCUCUCCGGAAGUGGAAGCAGAGUCAUUGCUGGUUGGUGCCAGCCCUCAGACUUGCUGCUUUGCAGUAGGAAGAAAGCCUCCCCACACACCUUCCCACACUCAUCACCUUGAGCCAGACUCGAUGUCCAGUGAAUAUGACCAUCUCCUGCCCAUUUUCUAAUGAAUGUUUUCAUUAAUGAUUUAUAAGAAUGUGGUGGGUAAAUCUAUGGGCUUUGAAGCUAGUGAAUCAACUUGGUUUCAGAAUCUGGCACUGCUACUUACUAUGUGAAUUUAAGCAAGUUAUUUCACCUUUCAGUGUCAGUUCCCUCAUG